GCGCUCAGACUCUGGAAUGAAGAACUUGAGAUUCAAAGGAGCUGAGUCCAUACUACCCUUACAGAAUAGGCAGGUGAAGGAUUCUCCCCAAGACUGGCCUGCCUUCUGUUUUUCUGCCAGCUGGCAUAGCAUCCAGUCCAAGUGCAGUGCUGUUUCUCUGUGGGUACCAGUAAGAUCAGCACAUGCAUGGGAGUGUAAUCUGCAUCCGGAUCUGCAGCAGAAUGUGUCGAAUCCCAGCUCUGCCCAGAGCAAAGCAGAGAGUGUCCAGCACCCCCUAAUCCAGAGAGGGAUGGAGUCAGCUCACAGAAGCGGAAUCACGCUCCAGUGGGCUGUCACACUGCAAGUUUCUGAGCAUUUUUACUUUGUCAUUCUGGAUGGGAACGUUUAAGGAGAUGUUAAUGGAGAGUGAAAAGGCAACUGUAUUCCUCAAAUUGCUGGAAGGAAGCCUGUUUCGCCACAGAGAUCUCUUUUCUUUAUUUAAUGAACUUUGAGAACCGUACAUCCGCCUGACAGUUAAGACUUCAAUGUUCUGCCUGGAAAUGAGGUCCUUACCAGCAAGCCUGCUGCAUGUAAGAUCUUGCCUUGCAUCCCUUCUUUGCCCGUGUGCUCCUUCUUCAUCUGAAACUGUCUUUUCAUGACAUGAUCUGA